GAAGCCUGCUCCUGGGAGGUGUUAAUUCCCUGGCACUUUCACACUUGCAUCCUAGCCAAUGAAAUGGGAGCAGGAGUGAUAUGCAUCACAUCCAGACCCAGCAGAGGAAAUCCUCUCCUGCCCUAUUCUCCCUACACUUUUCCCUUUCUGGAUGACUGGAGCAGAAGUAACUCUGGGUGACCACAGCAGCCAUGAGUUGAAGAAGGAAGAACCCCAAGAUGAAAGGAACCUGGGCCCCUGAAUCAUCACGUGGAGAACUCCCCACCAAUUGGGAGUGCCCAUUUUGGACCUUGUAAAAGAGACCUGAAACUAAUUUCUGAGCCAUUACAGAUUUUUGGUGAGCUUGUUACAGCAGCUAGCAUUACUUUAAUUAACACAUUAUUCUUUUAAUACUUUCCAAUCUGAUAUGCAGACAUCUCACUCAUGCUUUAACUUGAAUCUCAUUGGUUUCUAGGGAGGUUAUAUAGCAGUUGAUAUAUAACUCAAAUAUUCUCCAGUCGUCUCCAUUUGGAGGGCAUGAGGAGGUCACUGUAUCAGCGCAAUCAGAAUUCCACUGCUCUCACCUGUAUGAAAUCAGGCCCUCGUCCCCACCACACACACACACACACACACUCACUCACUCACUCACUCACUCUCCUUGACAUUCCUCCACCCUCUCUGAGAUUCCCCAGUGAGUAUCUCACAACAGUUCCCACAUCAUCCCAGAUGCCCACCUGACCCUCCCUCCCAGGUGGUUCUAAUCCAGGUGGCUGACCUGAACACCCCUGAGGUCACAUCUGACCCACUGCUGACAUUACUCUGGGCUUCUGUCCCUCCUUCUCCUGCCCGUAGGGAAGCCCCAUCUCUGUCUUUAUUCUCUUCUCUUGUGGGGGGGAUCCCAUAGGAGAGGUGCUUGGACUCCUAAAGGCUAGCAUUCUUCUAGGAGCCUCUUGACAUCUGUGAAAUUAGUGGAUGUGAAUACAAAAGAAGAGGAGGAAGAAUGGUCUCUCACCUAUUUCUGCAAGCCAAGUAUGUUUCAGCCUCAGCUCUGACCCAGCUGGGACCACAGUCGCCCAAAACGUAUGGAUCACACGAGGGGGUUUUUCUAUGAAUUGUUAUCUGUCACACAAGAGCCCUUUUCUCCAGGCUAGAGUUCUUCUGACCAGUCAGAAUCUCCUACCUCCAACCCUCCGCCCCAGAUUCCUUUUGGUCUCUGACGAAAUGAGGGUCUUUCCUCUCUGGUCAGAUGGCCAGCUGCAGCAUGGGCUUCUGGUCCCAGAACACAAGCUAAUCCCCAGAGCAAUGCCUAUAGCUUACCCUGUGGAAGGGCUGGUCCGCGGCAAGCACAGGCCUCCAGCCUCCCCGGAGAACACCAGGCAGGAAGAGGAAAUCCAGAGAACUCAUCUCCGCGUCUAAGACUGAGGUUGUUGCGACUCCAUUGCCUUGCUUGGGUUGUACCCAGAACAAACAUGUAAGGAGCCACGUCAGUGGCCCCAGCGGGAGGAGUAGGGUGUAUCAAUCAGAGUCCCAACAGGAAACAAACUCACCCCAGAUGGUUCAAACAAAGAGACCUUAAUAAAGAGAGUCCUUCACAUCAGUACUUCAUUCGUUCUUAUGGCUGAAUAAUAUUCUACUGUGUGGGUAUACCACAAUCUCCAUAAUUCUUAGCUCCGUAAGCGAGUGAUUCUCAAAAUGCAGUCUCCAGACCAGCAGCAGCCGCAAUCCCUGGGCACCUAUCGGAAAUGCAAAUUCUUGGGCUCACUCACCCUAUCAAGGAAGCCCAGCAAUCUGGUUUUUAACAAGCCCUCCAGGUGAUUCUGAUGCAUGCUCCAUUAUGAGGCACAGGUGAACCCUGAAAACAUUAUGCUAAGUGAAAGAACCAGAUGCAAAAAGUCACAUAUCGUAUGAGUCCUUUUAUAUGAAAUAUCCAGAAUAGGAAAAUCUGUAGAGACAGACAGCAUGUUAGUGGUUACCAGGAGAUGGGGAAAGAUGGAAAUGGGGGGUGGUUACUUAAUGGGUACAGGGCAUACUUUUGGGGCGAUGAAAAAGUUUUGAAACUAGAAAGAGGUGGCAUUUGCACAACAUUGUGAAUGCACUAAAUGUCCCUGAAUUUUACACUUUUUUUCAGUUAACAUUCUUUUUCUAAAAAAAUUAUUUUAUUGAGGUCAUAUUGGCUUAUAACAUUGUAUAAAUGUCAGGUG
rnacentral:lncRNA from 1 species